AGAGUGUAAUUAAUGCAGCCAAGGAUGACUUGCCGGCAUCGUCGAAGGGACGGUUUGCCUGAACUAGCUUAGGGGUUCCCGGUAGGUUGUCCUUGGCUACAUUGGGUUCUCU
rnacentral:pre_miRNA from 1 species